CUUUUCCAGAAGGCUCCCCUACCACGUCUCGUCCCCACCCGCACCCCCUUGCCUACCACUCGCGGGGCGAUUCCAGGAGUACCUGGCAACACCACAGACUGCGCGGCCCAGGCCAAGCCAAGCGUGGAGACCGCGCAACCCCGCCCUUGGCCCUGGCCCAGGUGUCCCGGCCACAGUCCCCAGUCUUGCAGGGGACGUUCCCGCGCUGAGCAAGUCCUGAUCGCGGACUCCUGAGUUACGGGGAACCGCCUGGUCCAAGGCGAGGACAGGGAGUGCACCAGCAGAGGGAACCCACCCUGCCUCCAAGCCCUGCGGAACUUGGGCUGCACGGGAAGGAGCUGGUUUUACAGCCCUGUGGGGUGCGGGAUCCGAGUUUCCCUAGGCACCUGCAGGAGAGCCCCAAAAUCUAACACGAGGGCAUGGAAGAAGGAGUUGGAUGAGCGGUGGCCCGAAUGAAAGGCAUCCGUGCUCUGGAGUCUGCAAGUAAUUUAAGCUUCCAAGCCUCUAAAGAUGCUCCCCGCACCCUCCUCUGAGGAAUCCGCGGGCGGUGGCCUGGGCCCUGUCCCGGGACAAGGCACUGCGUCUCUGAGAUUAACCCCUGUCGGGCGCGCCCUAGCACUGUCAGCAUGAGGUCAUCCUGCCAAUAGGAAUUUCCUGUCCCUUCAACACUGACUGGAGACGGGCCCCACCCUAUGCCCAGUCCUCGGGCUCCUGGACUCACCAAAUACCUGGGACGCUCAUUGCCAGGCAGCGCCAGGCCCUGCCCUCCAGGCCUCAUCGCUGCCGCAGACGUGGGACAGGUUUCCUCAUCAAUGGCCGAAAGGGAGCCCAGGUCGGGGGGCAUGUUCUCUGGCGGGCAUUCUCUGCCCCAGAGGAGCCUGCUUUCCUGAGCACCGGCCCCACUGUGCCUCAUCUUGGUUCCACCCUUCCAGCGCUUGGCAGUUAGUGUAGGAACCGAGAUCUCUAGGGAAACUGAGGCCUUUUGGCAACAAGAUGCCCUGGGGGCUACCCUAAGAAAGGCACAGCUUCCUUGGAGUGAGGAGUGUCACCUAGCAAAACUUGGACAACAUUAGAAGAUGCAAUUAGCAGAAAGGAAACUUUAUGGAGGAGCCAAGAUGGCCGAAUAGGAACAGCUCCGGUCUACA
rnacentral:lncRNA from 1 species